rnacentral:rRNA from 1 species
UACGUAGGGUGCAAGCGUUGUCCGGAAUUAUUGGGCGUAAAGGGCUCGUAGGCGGUUUGUCGCGUCGGGAGUGAAAACUCAGGGCUUAACCCUGAGCCUGCUUCCGAUACGGGCAGACUAGAGGUAUGCAGGGGGGAGAAUGGAAUUCCUGGUGUAGCGGUGAAAUGCGCAGAUAUCAGGAGGAACACCGGUGGCGAAGGCGGUUCUCUGGGCAUUACCUGACGCUGAGGAGCGAAAGUGUGGGGAGCGAACAGG